UGGUUUCCUUUAUAAAGGUUGCUGCAGCCACAGUGUUUCUUCACAGCAGCCCUAAGACAGCCGUGUAACAUGAGAGUGUUUAAGAGGAUGAGCCGCUUUAUGAAGAAGUAUGGAUUGUAUAAUUUCUAAGGCAACUCCUGAUGAGGUCUAUGAUGUUAUUACAAGGAUGUCUGAGGUGACUCCCUGGUGCUCCUGAAGACUCCAAGAAUCCCAGCCCUGUCAGAUGCCUCAUAUCCAUCUUCACUUCCAAGUGAAUUGAACCAGAAUGUCCCCAAUAGGUUCAGAUGAAGUAAUGAGAUGAGAUCCAUAACCAACCUAUACAAAUACCUGGCUUGGGCUGAGCCCAGAACAUUUCUAUAUAACUGUCCCUGAAAGCUUUGAGUCUUAGUAUAAUCUGAUCUUCUGCAAGUCCAGACCUUGAAAGAUUCAAAUUCCAGACUGCUAAACUAGGCUUAGAAUGUUUCAGCCUUCAAGACUUACUGCUGAAUAAAUUCACCCUUUCUAGCUCUUCCUGAACGCUGGCUGGCUGAGUUAACUCAACUGUUCUGGCUCAAACUCCUCUCUAGGCUGACUCAUUCAAACUGCCUCCUCUUUGCUUCUGUCUGAUUUGCUCUGCUUGAAAAACUGCCUCUGAAUGCCAUGAAAUGAAUCUCUCUGAGCUCAACUUCUCUGAAUUGACCUCAGCUGUACCCAACUGAACUCUUCAAACUGAAGUGAACUGUUAACUCUUCCAAACUGAACUCCACUCUGCUGAACUUACUGUACUGACUCCGCGCUGACUGAUUCUCCCCACACGGCUCUUAAAUAGCUUCUCCUUCCUGCGCUGUUCUCCUGAGAGCUGGACCAAUUCUAUCUCCGGUACAUUCUUCCAAAUCUUUCUCUGAUUAAUAACUUUAUCUGCCCCUCAAUUAGAUAUCAGUUUCAAACAUGGCUGCUUCCUUCUACAAACUAAUUUUACCUUAAAGGUGUGUCCUAAGGAUGCGUCUGUAUUCCAGCCAGAAAGAUUGAAGGUGUGCCAUUCCAGCUGAGUCACUCAGACCUAGUAGGUCCUGGAUAUGAUCCCUUGCCAAAGCUGCCAUGUUGCUGGAUUCAAAUUCCGCUACAAUAUGAGACAAGGAACCUACAAAGAUUCCAUGUGUUCAUGGGUCCGUGUGUUCAUGUUAUCAGACAUUACAUAACAGAAACAUGUUAUCAUUACAUUACAUAAAGAGUGCAAUCAUUUGAAAUCACAAGAAAAAUACUAAAUGUUGAAGAGAGAAAAGGGCCAGGGGAGCCCAAGUGACCCCAAUGUGAUAGGCUGAAGCUGCUGUCCUCCAUAGCCUCCCAGAAGUGGAAGACAAUUGAUUCCCUGUUGCUGGAGAUACCAUGCACGUGGGACAGAAGACGCAAAGGAUCUGAGCUGGGUACAGCCUGAAAGUUCCCUCCCUGAGGACUAGGUCCCAUAGUACCAGAAAGUGCCAUGGCAGCUGUCAAGGAAGGAAACCAAGUUAUAGUUCUGCCCAGAUGUCACACCUGUGAAGUUCAACAAUGACCACCAUGGCGUGAUAUCUCUAAAGCACAAUAGUGGCACUCAGACCUCAGUAACUAACACUUGUCUCAUUGGAUUCAAGGUCUUUUCAACGGGAGCUAAAUCAUGCCUGGUACUUAUGCAACUACCUAAGCUAGUAAGCUUAUAGAUCUUAGAGAAGAAUCUAAAACCACUUUGUUAAACCAGGAGAAAUCCUAACUGCAUUCUUAAUGUUUACCCUUUUACCCACAGAAAAGUGUAGCUCCUACCCUUCAUCAAGGACAAUUCUCUUUGCAAGAGAUGGGGACCAUUAGACAAAACUGUAACUGGUCAAAAUGCAUAGGAUGACUGUUUAUGAAGUGUCUGGCCACAAUUGAUACAUCUACAUUACAACUUCUUCUCUCGGU